UACGAAGGGGGCUAGCGUUGCUCGGAAUUACUGGGCGUAAAGCGCACGUAGGCGGCUUUCUAAGUCGGGGGUGAAAUCCUGGAGCUCAACUCCAGAACUGCCUUCGAUACUGGAGAGCUCGAGUCCGGGAGAGGUAAGUGGAAUUCCGAGUGUAGAGGUGAAAUUCGUAGAUAUUCGGAAGAACACCAGUGGCGAAGGCGACUUACUGGACACAUAUUGACGCUGAGGUGCGAAAGCGUGGGGAGCAAACAGG
rnacentral:rRNA from 1 species